AAAUUGAAGAGUUUGAUCAUGGCUCAGAUUGAACGCUGGCGGCAGGCCUAACACAUGCAAGUCGAACGGUAACAGGAAGCAGCUUGCUGCUUUGCUGACGAGUGGCGGACGGGUGAGUAAUGUCUGGGAAACUGCCUGAUGGAGGGGGAUAACUACUGGAAACGGUGGCUAAUACCGCAUAACGUCGCAAGACCAAAGAGGGGGACCUUCGGGCCUCUUGCCAUCAGAUGUGCCCAGAUGGGAUUAGCUGGUAGGUGGGGUAACGGCUCACCUAGGCGACGAUCCCUAGCUGGUCUGAGAGGAUGACCAGCCACACUGGAACUGAGACACGGUCCAGACUCCUACGGGAGGCAGCAGUGGGGAAUAUUGCACAAUGGGCGCAAGCCUGAUGCAGCCAUGCCGCGUGUAUGAAGAAGGCCUU
rnacentral:rRNA from 1 species